rnacentral:rRNA from 1 species
UACGGAGGAUGCGAGCGUUAUCCGGAUUUAUUGGGUUUAAAGGGUGCGUAGGUUGUUUUUUAAGUCAGCGGUGAAAGUUUGUGGCUCAACAUCGGGGCUGCCGCUGAUACUGUAGGACUAGAGAUCGGAUGCAGCAGGCGGAAUGUGUAGUGUAGCGGUGAAAUGCAUAGAUAUUACACAGAACACCGAUUGCGAAGGCAGCUUGCUAGGCCGGAUCUGACACUGAUGCACGAAAGCGUGGGGAUCGAACAGG